rnacentral:rRNA from 1 species
UACGUAGGGGGCAAGCGUUGUCCGGAAUCAUUGGGCGUAAAGCGUGUGUAGGCGGUUCGAUAAGUCUGCUGUGAAAGUCCAGGGCUCAACCCUGGGAUGCCGGUGGAUACUGUCGGGCUAGAGUACGGAAGAGGCGAGUGGAAUUCCCGGUGUAGCGGUGAAAUGCGCAGAUAUCGGGAGGAACACCAGUGGCGAAGGCGACUACCUGGCCUGUUCUUGACGCUGAGGCGCGAAAGCUAGGGGAGCAAACGGG